rnacentral:rRNA from 1 species
GUAGGUGGCAAGCGUUGUCCGGAAUUAUUGGGCGUAAAGCGCGCGCAGGCGGUCCUUUAAGUCUGAUGUGAAAGCCCACGGCUCAACCGUGGAGGGUCAUUGGAAACUGGGGGACUUGAGUACAGAAGAGGAAAGCGGAAUUCCAAGUGUAGCGGUGAAAUGCGUAGAGAUUUGGAGGAACACCAGUGGCGAAGGCGGCUUUCUGGUCUGUAACUGACGCUGAGGCGCGAAAGCGUGGGGAGCAAACAGGGAUUAGAUACCCUGGUAGUCCACGCCAUAAACGAUGAGUGCUAAGUGUUAGGGGGGUUUCCGCCCCCUUAGUGCUGCAGCUAACGCAUUAAGCACUCCGCCUGGGGAUACGGCCGCAAGGCUG